rnacentral:rRNA from 1 species
CCGUAACUUCGGGAGAAGGCACGCUGACACGUAGGUGAAGCGGUUUACCCGUGGAGCUGAAGUCAGUCGAAGAUACCAGCUGGCUGCAACUGUUUAUUAAAAACACAGCACUGUGCAAACACGAAAGUGGACGUAUACGGUGUGACGCCUGCCCGGUGCCGGAAGGUUAAUUGAUGGGGUCAGCGCAAGCGAAGCUCCUGAUCGAAGCCCCGGUAAACGGCGGCCGUAACUAUAACGGUCCUAAGGUAGCGAAAUUCCUUGUCGGGUAAGUUCCGACCUGCACGAAUGGCGUAAUGAUGGCCAGGCUGUCUCCACCCGGGACUCAGUGAAAUUGAACUCGCUGUGAAGAUGCAGUGUACCCGCGGCAAGACGGAAAGACCCCGUGAACCUUUACUAUAGCUUGACACUGAACACUGGUCCUUGAUGUGCAGGAUAGGUGGGAGGCUUUGAAGUGUGGACGCCAGUCUGCAUGGAGCCGUCCUUGAAAUACCACCCUUUAAUGGCUGGUGUUCUAACGUAGACCCGUGAACCGGGUUGCGGACAGUGUCUGGUGGGUAGUUUGACUGGGGCGGUCUCCUCCUAAAGCGUAACGGAGGAGCACGAAGGUUGGCUAAUCCUGGUCGGACAUCAGGAGGUUAGUGCAAUGGCAUAAGCCAGCUUGACUGCGAGCGUGACGGCGCGAGCAGGUGCGAAAGCAGGUCAUAGUGAUCCGGUGGUUCUGAAUGGAAGGGCCAUCGCUCAACGGAUAAAAGGUACUCCGGGGAUAACAGGCUGAUACCGCCCAAGAGUUCAUAUCGACGGCGGUGUUUGGCACCUCGAUGUCGGCUCAUCACAUCCUGGGGCUGAAGUAGGUCCCAAGGGUAUGGCUGUUCGCCAUUUAAAGUGGUACGCGAGCUGGGUUUAGAACGUCGUGAGACAGUUCGGUCCCUAUCUGCCGUGGGCGCUGGAGAACUGAGGGGGGCUGCUCCUAGUACGAGAGGACCGGAGUGGACGCAUCACUGGUGUUCGGGUUGUCAUGCCAAUGGCACUGCCCGGUAGCUAAAUGCGGAAGAGAUAAGUGCUGAAAGCAUCUAAGCACGAAACUUGCCCCGAGAUGAGUUCUCCCUGAGACUACAAGUCUCCUGAAGGAACGUUGAAGACGACGACGUUGAUAGGCCGGGUGUGUAAGCGCAGCGAUGCGUUGAGCUAACCGGUACUAAUGAACCGUGAGGCUUAACCUUACAACGCCGAAG